UACGUAGGGUGCGAGCGUUGUCCGGAAUUAUUGGGCGUAAAGAGCUCGUAGGCGGUCUGUCGCGUCGAUCGUGAAAACUUGGGGCUUAACCCUGAGCUUGCGGUCGAUACGGGCAUGACUGGAGUUCGGCAGGGGAGACUGGAAUUCCUGGUGUAGCGGUGAAAUGCGUAGAUAUCUGGAGGAACACCGGUGGCGAAGGCGGCAUCCUGGACCAACACUGACACUGAUGAGCGAAAGCCAGGGGAGCAAACGGG
rnacentral:rRNA from 1 species